AUUGAACGCUGGCGGCAGGCCUAACACAUGCAAGUCGAACGAGUGGCGGACGGGCGAGUAAUGUCUGGGAAACUGCCUGAUGGACGGGGAUAACUACUGGAAACGGUAGCUAAUACCGCAUACUAUCGUAUGUGCCCAGCUGGGAUUAGCUAGUAGGUGGGGUAAAGGCUCACAUAGGCGACGAUCCCUAGCUGGUCGGAGAGGGUGACACGCCACAGUGGAACUGAGACACGGUCCAGACUCAUACGGGAGGCAGCAGUGGUGAAGAUUGGACAAUGGGCGCAAGCCUGAUGCAGCCAUGCCGCGUGUGUGAAGAAGGCCUUCGGGUUGUAAAGUACUUUCAGCGGGGAGGCGUUACCCACAGAGGAAGCAAAGGCUAACUCCGUGCCAGCAGCCGCGGGAAUAC
rnacentral:rRNA from 1 species